rnacentral:pre_miRNA from 1 species
GAGGAGGGGCAGGGUCAAGGGUCAAAGGUCAGGGUGGCCAAGACCUUGACCUUGACCUUUGACCCCAGCCGGCCAAG